GCUGGGUGUGGUAGCACUUGCCUGUAAUCCCAGCAGCUCUGGAGGCAGAGACAGGAGGUCUGUGAGUUCAAAGCCAGCCUCAGCAAAAGCGAGACACUAAGCUACUCAGUGAGACCCUGUCUCUU
rnacentral:sRNA from 1 species